ensembl:snoRNA
AGCCUCAUACUACUGAAAAUGGACACUGUUGUUCAUGGUGUCCAUAAAUUGUUAAUGUGGCUACAUUGAGAACACAGGUUUUGCUUCCAUCACUGUAAUUUUAUUGCAGUGGUGACAAUGAGAACUGCAACAUUU